GAUGAACGCUGGCGGCGUGCCUAAUACAUGCCAGUCGAGCGAACAGACGAGGAGCUUGCUCCUCUGACGUUAGCGGCGGACGGGUGAGUAGCACGUGGAUAACCUACCUAUAAGACUGGGAUAACUUCGGGAAACCGGAGCUAAUACCGGAUAAUAUAUUGAACCGCAUGGUUCAAUAGUGAAAGACGGUUUUGCUGUCACUUAUAGAUGGAUCCGCGCCGCAUUAGCUAGUUGGUAAGGUAACGGCUUACCAAGGCAACGAUGCGUAGCCGACCUGAGAGGGUGAUCGGCCACACUGGAACUGAGACACGGUCCAGACUCCUACGGGAGGCAGCAGUAGGGAAUCUUCCGCAAUGGGCGAAAGCCUGACGGAGCAACGCCGCGUGAGUGAUGAAGGUCUUCGGAUCGUAAAACUCUGUUAUUAGGGAAGAACAAAUGUGUAAGUAACUAUGCACGUCUUGACGGUACCUAAUCAGAAAGCCACGGCUAACUACGUG
rnacentral:rRNA from 1 species